rnacentral:rRNA from 1 species
GUUUCAUUUAAAAUUUUUAUAAAAUUUUAUUUUUUAGUUAAAAAGCUAAAAUUUGUUCAAAAGACGAGAAGACCCUAUAAAUCUUAAUUAUUUAUAAGUUUUUAAUUUAUUUUGAUUUUUUUUAUUGUAAAUUUAUGUAUAAUUUUAUUGGGGUGAUAUUAAAAUUUAAAUAACUUUUAAUAAUUCAUAUCAUUUAUUUAUGAUUUAGUGAUCCAUUAUUAGUGAUUAAAAAAUUAAGUUACUUUAGGGAUAACAGCGUAAUUUUUUUGGAGAGUUCUUAUCGAUAAAAAAGUUUGCGACCUCGAUGUUGGAUUAAGAUUCAUAUUUAAAUGCAGAAGUUUAAAUAUUAAGUCUGUUCGACUUUUUAUUCUUACAUGAUCUGAGUUCAAACCGGCGUAAGCCAGGUUGGUUUCUAUCUUUGAUUAUUGAAAUAUUUUAGUACGAAAGGAAUAGAUAUUUAUUUUAAAGAAAUUAAUAAAUGAAU